UUCCUGAGCCUUGUACACACCGCCCGUCAAGUCAUGGAAGCUGGUAAUGCCUGAAACGCUCCAAAAAGCGCUACGGCAGGACCGGUGACUGGGACU
rnacentral:rRNA from 1 species